UUUUCCUCAGAAAAUGUAAAGAGCCCCAGCUGCCCCCAAGGCUGUGCAGUUCUGCUGCAGCCUGUCCCCACAGCUGUGUCCCUGCCAGUGCCCACAGCUGUGUCCCUGGCUGUCCCCACAGCUGUGUCCCUGCCUGUGCCCAGGCUCUUGGCUCUCUGACUGCCAGCUGAGUGAGGGGCACACUGGCUGCGGGGUCCCUCCUGUGCUCCCUGGGCAUGGGGUGAGCAGAUUCCAGUGCCGGGUCUGGUUCUCGCAGCCAGCAGCUCUUUCCUGUUCCAGGUAAAUGGUUCAGCUCCCAUCCCGUGCUCGUGGUGCUGCUGAUUCUGCUGCUCCUGGUGCUGGUGCUGGCUUUGGGGGUGGCCUUGGCUGUGCAGUCAGCACAGCUUCCACUUACACCUGCGACUCCGCAGUGCUGUCCCCAUGGCUGGGUUAGCUACAAUGGAGUCUGCUACUACUUGUCAAGGGAUUACGGCACCUGGGAGCAGGGUCAGGAAUGGUGCUCCGAGCUCGGGGCCUCCCUGGCCAUUCUCAAGGAUGAGGAAAUGGAUUUGCUCUUCCACCUCCGCGGGAACGUCGAUUACUGGCUCGGGCUGCGCAGACGGGGCGAGCGCCUGCACUGGGGGGACGGCAGCAGCUACAGCUCCUGGGUUCCUGUCCUGGGCAAUUCCGAGUGUGUGUACCUGGCUGACCAUAAAUUCAGGAGUGAGAUGUGCUCAAAUGAGCGGCCGUAUGUCUGCAGCAAGGCCCAAGCUCCCCUGUAACAGGGGCUGGAGAAAGGACCUUGUCCACACUGGGCAGUGCCAGCGUCGUCUGUAAGCCCGGCACAGGGCUGUCCUUCCUCAGGUGUACCUGUGUUUAUACCGAAAUGCGAAAGCCAUUAACAGUAUAAGUUAUUUAUAACAUUAUGUAUCGAGCUCCUUUGGGUAAUCUGAAUCUGCCUGCGCUCUUGGUGUUCAUUACAAGCUAGCAGUCACAUGAGAGUUCUGGACUGCCUUUGGCAGAGGAAGAAGAGCAGCAGACACGUGCUGAGCAGGGAUCCCACUUUUGGCGUCCGGCUUUGAAGAAGCCAGACUGUGAAGAAGGAUCUGUCAGCUGCUGGCUCUCUCUCUCUGCUUUGGAGGAGGAUGGUCAGAGCUGCUGCUUGGGGAAGGAAUUUGCUGCCACGGCCAUAACCGAGCUGAGAGCUGCUUCCUCUGCUGUGGAAUGAGCCGCUGUGCCCGGAACUGCACGUGAGGGGAAAGUGCCCGUGGCUGAGCGGGGCCGGGGCUGGGUUUGUGUCUGCUCGGGGCAGGGCUGCGCUGCAGGGGUUUGUGUGCCUGGGACAGAGCAGUAAAGAGCUGCUGUUCUAUUCUCAUAGCUGUGUCUGAGAGACCCUUCACUUCUAAAUUAUAAUAAUUCUGAGCAUGGGGGUUUACAUUUUCCACUGCAAGGGAGGCUCCUGCCUUAGGAGACCCCUGCCUUUCAAAGCAAAACACCCCCAUCCCUCUGUGCUACUGUGUGGGGAAAAGGGAGGGAGGGAAUCAGGGAUAAAGAGAAGCCCAGGAAGGAGAGUUCAGAAGGUGCAUUUUUAGGAUUUUGGGUACUUCUCAUUCCCUUGCUCAGAUUUGUUUGAUAAUAAAUUCAAUUAAUUUCCCCAGUCCAGGCCUCAUUCCCCAGUUACGCCCAUGAUGGGUGAGAGAUCUCUCGCUGCCUUUACUGAGACCCUCGAGCCUUUCCUGCUGUGUUCUGUGGCCUGCCCAGGGGCAGGAGGAGAGGCACAGAGCGCUUUUGCUGGCCCUGGGCACCUGACCUGCCCCAGCCCAGCCCAAGAAUCCCUGCCAGAAUUCACUGCACCAUUUCCCGGCCCCACGGUGGCUCUGGCUCCACGGGCAGGCGGCUCCAGGAGUUCAGAGGGGGCAAAAUGGGACCGAGGGAGAGGAGGCAGCUGGAGCCAGUGGGGGAAAUGUCUUUGCUGUGAGCUGGCAGGGAGAGGAGGAGGGAGAAAGUGGUGCAAAGUAAAGGCGAGAGAAAGAGGGACAAGGCUGGAGCGGUGGAAGGCAGCGGGGAUGGCCAUGGGGCAGGCGGGCACUUUGCUUUCCAGCUCUGUGGGAGGAAACCGAGAGCUGUCAAAUCCAUGCAGGAAAAGAGGGGAGCAAUAGCAGGUGGUGGAAAUGGCUGGCAAUUGGGAUUCAUUUUAUCUGCCUGAACUGCAAAGGCUGACAGACCCCGAGCACCGCCAGUGUUGUGAUGUGUCCUGCCCUGCCCCUGGCCUGGCUGCAGCCGCCUGCUGAGACGGGCCCUUGUCUCUAAAGGAGCUGCACCGAGGGAU